AGUGCCGGCAGCUAUAAUGCAGUCGACGAACUCUGGUAUUGAUUGGUGCUUGCAUCAUGAUUUACAUUUGAGUGAGUGGCGAACUGGUGAGUAACACGUGGGAAACCUGCCCAGAAGCGGGGGAUAACACCUGGAAACAGAUGCUAAUACCGCAUAACAACUUGGACCGCAUGGUCCGAGUUUGAAAGAUGGCUUCGGCUAUCACUUUUGGAUGGUCCCGCGGCGUAUUAGCUAGAUGGUGGGGUAACGGCUCACCAUGGCAAUGAUACGUAGCCGACCUGAGAGGGUAAUCGGCCACAUUGGGACUGAGACACGGCCCAAACUCCUACGGGAGGCAGCAGUAGGGAAUCUUCCACAAUGGACGAAAGUCUGAUGGAGCAACGCCGCGUGAGUGAAGAAGGGUUUCGGCUCGUAAAACUCUGUUGUUAAAGAAGAACAUAUCUGAGAGUAACUGUUCAGGUAUUGACGGUAUUUAACCAGAAAGCCACGGCUAACUACGUGCCAGCAGCCGCGGUAAUACGUAGGUGGCAAGCGUUGUCCGGAUUUAUUGGGCGUAAAGCGAGCGCAGGCGGUUUUUUAAGUCUGAUGUGAAAGCCUUCGGCUCAACCGAAGAAGUGCAUCGGAAACUGGGAAACUUGAGUGCAGAAGAGGACAGUGGAACUCCAUGUGUAGCGGUGAAAUGCGUAGAUAUAUGGAAGAACACCAGUGGCGAAGGCGGCUGUCUGGUCUGUAACUGACGCUGAGGCUCGAAAGUAUGGGUAGCAAACAGGAUUAGAUACCCUGGUAGUCCAUACCGUAAACGAUGAAUGCUAAGUGUUGGAGGGUUUCCGCCCUUCAGUGCUGCAGCUAACGCAUUAAGCAUUCCGCCUGGGGAGUACGGCCGCAAGGCUGAAACUCAAAGGAAUUGACGGGGGCCCGCACAAGCGGUGGAGCAUGUGGUUUAAUUCGAAGCUACGCGAAGAACCUUACCAGGUCUUGACAUACUAUGCAAAUCUAAGAGAUUAGACGUUCCCUUCGGGGACAUGGAUACAGGUGGUGCAUGGUUGUCGUCAGCUCGUGUCGUGAGAUGUUGGGUUAAGUCCCGCAACGAGCGCAACCCUUAUUAUCAGUUGCCAGCAUUAAGUUGGGCACUCUGGUGAGACUGCCGGUGACAAACCGGAGGAAGGUGGGGAUGACGUCAAAUCAUCAUGCCCCUUAUGACCUGGGCUACACACGUGCUACAAUGGAUGGUACAACGAGUUGCGAACUCGCGAGAGUAAGCUAAUCUCUUAAAGCCAUUCUCAGUUCGGAUUGUAGGCUGCAACUCGCCUACAUGAAGUCGGAAUCGCUAGUAAUCGCGGAUCAGCAUGCCGCGGUGAAUACGUUCCCGGGCCUUGUACACACCGCCCGUCACACCAUGAGAGUUUGUAACACCCAAAGUCGGUGGGGUAACCUUUUAGGAACCAGCCGCCUAAGGUGGACAGAAGU
rnacentral:rRNA from 1 species